AUUGAACGCUGGCGGCAUGCCUUACACAUGCAAGUCGAACGGCAGCGCGGGAGCAAUCCUGUCGGCGAGUGGCGAACGGGUGAGUAAUAUAUCGGAACGUGCCCUGUAGCGGGGGAUAACCUAUCGAAAGAUGGACUAAUCCCGCAUACGCUCUACGGAGGAAAGCGGGGGUCGCAAGACCUCGCACUACAGGAGCGGCCGAUAUCGGAUUAGCUAGUUGGCGGGGUAAAAGCCCACCAAGGCUACGAUCCGUAGCUGGUCUGAGAGGAUGAUCAGCCACACUGGAACUGAGACACGGUCCAGACUCCUACGGGAGGCAGCAGUGGGGAAUUUUGGACAAUGGGCGCAAGCCUGAUCCAGCCAUGCCGCGUGAGUGAAGAAGGCCUUCGGGUUGUAAAGCUCUUUCGGCAGGAAAGAAAUGGUUCGUGCUAAUACCUCGGACUGAUGACGGUACCUGAAGAAGAAGCACCGGCUAAUUACGUGCCAGCAGCCGCGGUAAUACGUAGGGUGCAGGCGUUAAUCGGAAUUACUGGGCGUAAAGCGUGCGCAGGCGGUUUCUUAAGUCAGAUGUGAAAUCCCCGGGCUUAACCUGGGAACUGCGUUUGAAACUGGGUGACUUGAGUGCGGCAGAGGGGGGUGGAAUUCCACGUGUAGCAGUGAAAUGCGUAGAUAU
rnacentral:rRNA from 1 species